rnacentral:lncRNA from 1 species
GCAAGCUCUGCUCUUCAGCCUCACUCAGGACUGCAGAAAAAUGCAUGUUCUUGGGCCUGUCACUAGAGAUUCUGCUUCAGCAUGUCUGCAGAGAACUCAGAAAUAAGCAGUUUACAAAUGCUGCCACUCAAGCAUUUAAGGAGACAGGCUGAAUGAGGGCAGAGAGCCCCAUGGCUGAACCACCCCAUGGCAUCUGGCUCCGGGCAGGCCACCUGAACACUGCCCAGCCUCGGUCCUCUUACCUGCUCAAUGAGGAUGCCCAGGGAAUCCUGUGGGUGUUGGCAGGUCCUGUGGGAGAUGGUGUGGUAACAGCACUUGGCCAUACCUUACAGGACUCCAAACGGAACAGAGUGAGGACUCAAAGGGAGGUGCUGGGAGCAACCAAGGACAUCAGUGCCUCCUUCUCAACCAGACACCCUGGGCUCUGAGCCCUAAUGGUUCUCCCUCCCACUGUGGCCUAAGUGUCUUCACAUUCAAGGCUCUGGCAGUCAUGAGGAUUACAUCUCAACAUGAGAUUUGGAGGGACCAUCCAAACUAUAUCACACGGUAAGACAUGAUGCAUGUUUAUACACUUUAUUGGACAAUUUGUUUACUGACAGCCAAAAGCACCCUCACAAAUACAAAGGCUCAGCACUGUCUGGGGAGUCUUUCCAGCCUCAUUUUCCACCACUGCUCUUUGAUGCCUCUCUGGGUGAACCGUGUGUUGCUUUCUCUUUGCUUUGGCUGCUAACUGCCAGGCCCCUCUAGUGUCCUCAAAUUGGUGAACUCCUAGUCAUCCUUCAAAGCCCAACUCAAAUUUCCCCACCUCUGCAAAGGCUUCUGAGCUCCCCUAGGCAGAACUCAAAGCCCUGUCUUGCUGCCUUCAAAUGUCUUCACUGUGGAAUUUCUCACAUCAUUCUCCAGCCACUUGUCUGCUGGCCAGUCUGCUGCACUGUGAGCUCUUGGGUGCUGCAGCUCUUUCUCCAUGAUCUGUUAUCCCCUAGCAUUGCACCUGGUAUGCUGCAGGUGCUGGUCAAUGCUGCAUAUUGCAUUACUGAAAAUACUGCUUCCUCCAGGCCUCCUGUAACCCUUGGCUCUCCUGAUGUUCUUGCCCAGCUGGGCAGGAAGGUGGUGCAUCUCUCAUGUCCCAGGAGAAACAAGCUCUCAGUGAGGACACAGUAUGGGAAUAGGCUCCUGCUGCACCACACUGUCCCUGCUCUCUUCAACCCAGGUGGGAUCCCUGGCCCAGACAGG